AGUGAACGCUGGCGGUAGGCCUAACACAUGCAAGUCGAACGGCAGCACAGUAAGAGCUUGCUCUUACGGGUGGCGAGUGGCGGACGGGAGAGGAAUAUAUCGGAAUCUACUUUUUCGUGGGGGAUAACGUAGGGAAACUUACGCUAAUACCGCAUACGACCUACGGGUGAAAGCAGGGGAUCUUCGGACCUUGCGCGAUUGAAUGAGCCGAUGUGGGAUUAGCUAGUUGGCGGGGUAAAGGCCAACCCAGGCGACGAUACGUAGCUGGUGUGAGAGGCUGAUCGGCCACACUGGAAGUGAGACACGGUCCAUACUCCUACGGGAGGCAGCAGUGGGGAAUAGUGGACAAUGGGCGCGAGCCUGAUCCAGCGAGACCGAGUGGGUGAAGAAGGCGUUGGGGUUGUAAAGCCCGUUUGUUGGGAAAGAAAAGCAGCAGGUUAAGACCCCGCUGUUCUGACGGUACCCAAUGAAGAAGCACCGGCUAACUUCGUG
rnacentral:rRNA from 1 species